rnacentral:lncRNA from 1 species
UGGUCUGACGCCUCUUUGAAAUGCAUCCCUUUCUUUUUUUAGUGGGUGGUUAGCAGGAAGAAAUCGACGAUGACACAUAUACAUGACCUUCCUACAGUGUUUCAAAUACAUACUUUAUGUGUCAUCUAAACAAUGGGUGCAGGCCUGAUAUCUCUUGUUUGUCUAUCCUGAAAGGUUACUCAGCACAGGCCAAUUAUUGAUGGUUAUGAACAACGAUGCUCAUAGGUCAAAGCUCUCUUAUUUAUCCUCAUCCCACACACGUACACCUUCUUCCUUCCG